rnacentral:rRNA from 1 species
UACGGAGGGGACUAGCGUUGUUCGGAAUUACUGGGCGUAAAGCGUGCGCAGGCGGUGAUGUAAGACAGAUGUGAAAUCCCCGGGCUCAACCUGGGACCUGCAUUUGUGACUGCAUCGCUAGAGUACGGUAGAGGGGGAUGGAAUUCCGCGUGUAGCAGUGAAAUGCGUAGAUAUGUGGAGGAACACCAAUGGCGAAGGCAGCCCCCUGGGAUGACACUGACGCUCAUGCACGAAAGCGUGGGGAGCAAACAGG